rnacentral:lncRNA from 1 species
UUCACUCAAGAGCUUUUCUUAUGGUUGAACCCAAAAGGUCACAGUAAGCUUCGAUAGUCUGCCUCCAACCGCCUGUCCCAAAGAAAAAUCGUCGUGCUGGAUUGGAGGCAUGGGUGAUGUUCUUCCUCCGGCUGUGCACCUGUCACCCACAACUCUCCUUCCUCUUUAAUAGUUGAUGGCAUAUCGACGUCGUUUUCCAGCAACGAUGACGAUGAUGGUGGAGUGAGUGCAAUGAUUUCACAGACUUCCAAAUUCACCACCGAGUGCUGGAAGCCGGCAUGUGUAGUACACUUAGAGGUGGCACUUCUCACUGAACUAAACUACCACAGCAUUGCUCAGCGGUCUGCUGUUCAGGAUUUUUUCCCAUUGAAUUAAACACAGAUACUAGCUACAAAUAAUAAAAAAACAAUUGAGAACAACUGUUAAGCUACAAAUCGGGUGUUCGGGCCAAGACUUAAGGCCUCGCUCAAAGAGGGGUAGAUCGAGCUAAGAGCUACCAAGGGAAAUUAAUGCCAACAAGAACUCGUCGAGCCUGAGAACUCUACCUUGCCGCUGCAAGGCCACGCGAGCUAGACUGGGAGACUGAAUUUGAUUAACCUCAAUGAUAGCCACUUAGUUGUUCCAACGAUUUAGAUAAGCUUCACUGGCAACCCCCUGCGAUGUUGUACAGAACCUCGAGUUGCUGCACCGCACGACGACGGCGACGAUUGGGCUUCUUAAGCUUCAACAAAACUUGCAGUACGUGUCGUCGCUUCCGACUCCACACUCUCCCUAGCGCCGUGGACCGUUAACGGCGCAGCUCCACAACCGAGAGACAACAAUCAAACAAUAGAAGAGAAAAACAAAACAACAACAAGGUCAGACGCACGAUCACGCACAGUCCUCACAACGUUGACGAAAUCAGUGUCACUAGCCUCCGCGCACCGCAGAAGGGUCAGGAACCCGCUCCACCUCCGCAACCUGGCAGAACAAGAACGUAAGGGAGGGAAUUCAACUAGGUCCAGUGUUGGACCCAACACCAAUUUGAAAAAAACAAGCGUCGAUCAACUUGCAAGGUGACCCUUGUAACGAUAACGUCCAAUCGCAACGACUGCCACUUUUCGAGGUUUGGAACCAGAACACGCACGAAAAAGAACCUGCUUGCUUUGGCCAGAACCGUCGUCAAUGAAGCUCUACACUAGAGCAAUGUAACGCCAAACUCCACCUCCUAGCAGAAUCGCAGAGAAACAAAAAACAAAACAAAACAAAACAAAAACAACCAUGGAUUGAAGAGGGAAGACACACAAAA